AAUUGCGAUGGGCGUCCUCUCCGCCCUGUGCGGUGGCUCUCAGUCCUCUGCUCCGCCCAAGCGAACCUUGUUCUCUUGCGCCAGUCACGACGAUGCUUUGGUCUGGGCGGCGUCAUUGGUAUCAUUCUCAAAGCCUAUGGCUUUCGCGUUACCUGCAUCUAAACCGGUCUGUUUCCUUGCAAGGUCUUUCACGGUGCCUGAGAAUCAUCUUGGCUAGCAAAGUAAUUGUUACCAUUGGCCUUAUAGUCCUGGAUUGAAGGCUGACUCAAUGAAUUAACGAACCUUCAUCUACGCAUUGUGCAAGGGGUGUUUACGCUUACAAGGUGUGCAUCUUUUAUUAUACAGCAGAGCAAUGUACUAAUCAGAAAAGGAACUGAUUGAAAGAGUUAUUGUUUACAAGAUCAAGGCCAGUAUUGCACCCUGGCAAGGGUGGGAGCUACACUAUUGUUGCAUGCAAGUUUGCUCGGACUAUGAAUUUAAACCAUUCGAUCUGCAAUUUCAUGUAUCAACUAUUCUUUGUCUCCUUUCCCUGUAUGAUUCAAAGAUACUACCUCGAUACGAAACUUUACAUUAUAAUGGAUAAUAUUGGCCGCUACGUAAUCUCUUACGCAUUGAGCGGUCGCAUCUACAUUACAUGAAAUCAUUUAAUAUAUUUCCAUUUUCC